CGACCACGACCGCCCCAUGGCUCCAACCGUGUUGAACCGCCCAGGGUGCACUUCCGGAUGCUUGGGAACUUGACCCUUCGUGCCUGAAGAUAUUACCAAAACCAUCCGUGCAGAUCAGGCCACACAUGAACACACGACAAUUCCGAGGUAUCCGCAACAACCCAUCUCGGCACUGUGAGGCCAGGCAGGCACCUCAACAGCGCACACUUUUCCGAGGGACAGGCAACAGGGGACACGUUGCUGAUGGCCUCAACCACAAACGCGCCAUGGCC